CCAAUAGCGUAUAUUAAAGUUGUUGCAGUUAAAAAGCUCGUAGUUGAAUUUCGGGGUUAGUAGGUUGGUCGUGCCACUGGUAUGUACUGGCUCUACUGAUCCCUCCUUCUUGUAGAACCGUAAUGCCAUUAACUUGGUGUUGCGGGGAAACAGGACUGUUACUUUGAAAAAAUUAGAGUGUUUAAAGCAGGCUAACGCUUGAAUACAUUAGCAUGGAAUAAUGAAAUAGGACGCUCGAUCCUAUUUUGUUGGUUUCUAGGAUUGACGUAAUGAUUAAUAGGGAUAGUUGGGGGCAUUAGUAUUCAAUUGUCAGAGGUGAAAUUCUUGGAUUUAUUGAAGACUAACUACUGCGAAAGCAUUUGCCAAGGAUGUUUUCAUUAAUCAAGAACGAAAGUUAGGGGAUCGAAGACGAUCAGAUACCGUCGUAGUCUUAACCAUAAACUAUGCCGACUAGGGAUCGGAUGAUGUUAAUUUUUUAAUGACUCAUUCGGCGCCUUACG
rnacentral:rRNA from 1 species